CUGAACCUACUCACUCAAUCGAUAACCAAAUCAGACACUAUCUCUCUAGUCGGUCAGACACUGUUUCCGAGGAGGUACUUUCUCGUCUGCCCGUGAGUCUGACUUUAAAGAAGAAAAAAGAAAACUUAGACAGGAGGUUAGUUUGGAUUAAUAAAGGGGUCGAUGAGUGCGACUUAAGGAGGAAGUUGAGGGUGUGUAAUGGGUUAACGGCGGAAGGCCUCGCCUCACCUUUAGUGCGCGUCAUACGGCUCUGUAAAGUGGUCCCACCAUCCCAGCAUCUAAAUCUACAGGAGGGGACAUCACCACCUCUUGCAGCCGCCAGACGCGCGUAUCAGCUGGGUGCGUCUCUCUCUCCCUGUGCCGGUGUCCGCCCCACAAGCUCCAUCUCACAUCCACGAAACAACGGGAACAGAAGGAAUAAGAGUAAUUUACAGGCACCAUGAAGGACCGGAUGCAAGAACUUAGACAUGGGAAGGAGACGACAGAGGAGGAGGAUGAAGUCGCCGUGGGGAUGGAUAAAGGCUUCAUGGAUGAAUUCUUUGAACAGGUGGAGGAGAUCCGAGGUUUUAUUGAGUCUCUGGCAGAGAAAGUUGAGGAGGUGAAGAGGAAGCACAGCGCCAUCCUCGCCUCACCUAACCCUGAUGAGAAAACAAAGGCUGACCUGGAGGAUCUGAUGGCAGACAUCAAGAAGUUGGCCAACAAAGUACGCUCCAAAUUAAAGAGUAUCCAGCAAACCAUAGAGCACGAAGAAGGCCAGAACAAGUCGUCAGCUGACCUGAGGAUACGCAAGACACAGCACUCCACACUGUCCCGUAAGUUUGUCGAGGUGAUGUCAGAAUACAACACCACCCAGUCUGACUACAGGGAGCGCUGCAAGGGACGCAUUCAGAGACAGCUGGAGAUCACUGGUAGAAACACAACAAAUGACGAGCUGGAGAGCAUGUUGGAGAGUGACAACCCAGCUAUCUUUACUUCGGGGAUCAUUAUGGACAACAUCACAGAGCAAGCUAUGAAUGAGAUCGAGACGCGGCACAACGAGAUCAUCAAGCUGGAAAACAGCAUCAGAGAGCUUCAUGACAUGUUCAUGGACAUGGCCAUGCUGGUGGAAAGCCAGCUCUAGAGCACAGAGAAGAGCACUCUUCAUUCAAUGAAGGAAGGGUGCCCUGGUGAACAACAUAGAGCACAGUGUGCAGGAAGCUCAGGAACACGUCGAUGAAGCGAAGGAGACCAUCCCAAAAUGCAAAAAGUUUAAAAAGACCGGCAGACGGAAGGUGAUCCUGAUAGGAGGUUGUGUAGCAGUGUGUCUAACUAUCCUCGUUAUAGCUCUCUCUGUUGGACUCAGUUAGGGUUUCAAUAAAUUCCUCUACAGCACAAGGAGCGUCCUCGGGUCCAUUUCAGCACUGAAAUUGUACUAUACCCUUAAAAUUAAAAUUUUGAGAAUAUAUUUUUCUAAACAAAACAGUUGAAUUUAUUUCAGGAACUAACUUGUAUAUGUGUCUGAUUAUGUUGUGAUGUACCUUAAUAUUGAUGUGCUUGUUCUGCAGCCUGUUGUAGUGCUCUGCAUGUGUUUAUGCAUACAUUGAUGAUAAAAAGAAAUGUGUGUUGAAUUAGAUAGAAAACAUGUUUUGAAGAACACAUUCCUCUGCAAAGAGUUAAUUCCUUCACAGUCAGUCUCUAACAUAUACGAUGUAUUUAAAACUGAGAUACCCAGUAAUAUAAAAUUAGUUUCACCUAAACUUUGCCAAAUUUUUAACUGAAAAGGAACAUCUAAGGAAUAAAUAUAUUGCACUUUUACUAAUAUGUAUACUGAUCAGCCAUAACAUUAUCACGCAUGCUUAAUAUUGUGUAGCCCCCCCUCUCAAGGUCAAGGCCAAAACAAUCCUGACCUGAUAAGAACUCCACUAAACCUCUGAGGUGUGGUGUGGUAUCUGGCACCAAGACCGUAGCAUCAGAUCCUUUAAGUCCUUUAAGUUGUGAGGUUGAGCCUUUAUGGGUUAGACUUCAAGCAUGAACAACUCGAUUGAGAUCUGGAGAUUAUAUAGACUUACUCAACAUCUUACCGAAUUUCCCUCCCCGAGAUAAAUAAAGUAUUUCUGAUUCUGAUUCUGAUUCUGAUUCUGGUUCUGAACUCCCUAUUGUUUUCCUCCAGGCUGCCUUCUCCCAUUGCAUUUGAUAUUCAUAUGCUCAUUGUAGGCGUUGGAAAGGGGUCAGCAUGGGCACCCUGACUGGUCUGAAGCUACCUCUAAUGCACUGUGUGUUCUAGCACCUUUAUAUUGGAGUUAGCAUUAACCUUUUCAGCUAUUCAAGCUCCAAUAGCUCUGUUGGACCAACCUUUGCUCCCCACACUGAGCCUUGGCUUCCCAUGCCAUAAAAGCACAAGAUAAGACUUAACAGAAAAUGCGUCACUUUGUGUAAUGUGUCACCUUGUGUUUUCUAUGGCAUAUAUUUGCACACACAAGUCAAAGAGAAUUGUCUGACUUUUGCUUUCAAAAAGUUGACAAUAAAGUUAUCUUUACCUUUAUGACCCUGUUGGCAGUUUUCCUUCAUUGGAGAACUUUUGGGAGGUUGUUAUAUGUCACAGUUUCCUGCUUCAACUGCAAGUAAAAAAUGUUCACAUAUUCACCCUGCUAUCAUGUGCCAGUGUUAUAAGAAAAUCAAUGAUAUUCACUUCACCUUCCAGUGGGCAUAAUGUUACGGCUAAUUGGUAUAGGUAUGUUCAAUUAAGUUAAACUUAUUUCAAGAGGAGGCUACACGUGGACAGAUUUUAGAAGAAAACCUUUUUGAUGUUGCCAUGAAAUAGCACCAAAAUUGAAGCUUCAUAUAAUUUCCACAGUGACGUCAAUAUACAAUUCAGAUUUGUGGCAUUUAUUGUUGAAUUUGUUUUGAACAAAGUGCGGGAAACAAAAAUCUUACUCCAUUAAAAUCCUCGCUGACAUAAAAGUGACACUCUCCACACUGUUUUGUGUUUUGCUACUUGUGUGUGUGUGUGUGUGUGUGUGUGUAUUGUGUCACACAGUAAAACUAAUAUGUCUAACAUGUUUUCCUCUGCUUUCUAUGCUGCCUUGGAUAUCUGUAGAAGAAAAUUAUGAUCAUUAUAUGCUGUGUGAUUCUGGGCGUUGUUGUUGCUUCCAUCGUUGGGGGAACACUGGCCUAAACCUCAACCACAGUCACAAUAACAAACACAGCCACACACACAACAGAUUUACAUUUUCAGUGUCCUGUUUUCAUGGAUGCAAUCUAUUAAAUGUUAGCACAAGGUGUGCCGCAUACUGUACGACACAAUUUACACUCAGUGUACCGGGCCAGAGGUGUUUCCGCAUGAGUUGCUAUUUUGUAAAUGUGUGGUGCUGCAAACUGUUUAUCUGAGUGUUGAGUAUUGUCAACGGUAUGAUAUUCCUAAAAGUGGAUUCUUGAAAGACAAAGAUGCUAAACGAUAUGUAACACUAUACUAAUACAUUCCAACUUCCAAAUAUGACGCUUAUUCUGCUGUAAUGUCUAUUUUGUGUAGUACAGGCAAAGUGACGGGCUGCUAAUCUGCUGUGAUAUAAAAAGCCACGUUAUCUAGAGAAUUGUUUAUUCUUCACUUUAUCUUUUUACUUUCUCUCUCUGAUGUCCUCUACCUCCUUUCAAAAGUUCUGCAUGAUUUUGUUUGCUGUAAAAAGGUAGUGUUAAUUUCUGUUGCAAGGGGGGGAAAGACAUUAUUUCCAGUUGGUUUAUAGAGUAAUCACAACUGCCAAUCAUCUCCCGUAAACUACAUCCGCAAUGCCACAGUACUUCACUUUAUCUGGCCUUACCAGUUGUGCAGCAUUUCUGAUCUUUGCUCCAGUGUUGGGUGAAUGUGUGCAUGCAGUAGUGUGUUUACUCGUAGCCACAUGUUUGAAUGUGAAUGAGUCGUGAGAUGAGAACAUGAGUGCUUUAUAGCCACCUGUGUCUUUGUUUUGUAUAAAGUGUAAACUGAUAUAAAGCUCUCUAACACUGCCAGUAUGUUCAAAUCAGAUGUUCUAAUGGAGUCUAGUCUGGUUGGAUUGAUUAUAUAGGUCUGUAAGUGACAAACUCUUGUUUUCUGUCUUUUUCUAAGCUUUAAACAGAGUGUACUUUUGUGUCAUGCUACUUUUAUGUUUUAUUUUUUUAAUUAAGAGUGAACUUGAAGAGUCAGUGAAAGCAUGAACUCAUGUAGCCCUCUAACAGACUCUCAUAUUCAUUAUCUGACAACACGUCAGACAUGCACAAACUGCAACCAUGUUACCAUGUCGCCUACUCAAAUUGUUGCCUUUGUGUUGUAAUGUGAUGACACUGUUUUAUAAGUCUGAUUUCACUUUGUUUCUGUUUUGCUUUUUCAAGUAAAGUUUGUCUGAAAAAG